rnacentral:rRNA from 1 species
UACGUAGGGCGCAAGCGUUGUCCGGAAUUAUUGGGCGUAAAGAGCUCGUAGGCGGCCUGUCGCGUCUGCUGUGAAAUCCCGGGGCUUAACCCCGGGCGUGCAGUGGAUACGGGCUGGCUGGAGGCAGGCAGGGGAGAAUGGAAUUCCCGGUGUAGCGGUGAAAUGCGCAGAUAUGGGAGGAACACCGGUGGCGAAGGCGGCUCUCUGGGACGGUACUGACGCUGAGACGCGAAAAGCGUGGGGAGCGAACAGG